AACUGUAAUUCAAUAACACUUUUGUUACACAUGUGUUUUUCAUAUUUUUCGUUUGUAUGUUUUAUAUAAAUACAUCUCGUAUCUUCGAAAAAGUAUUCAUUCGAAUAAAACUAACUAUGACAUGCACAUAUCACCAUCUCUUCUUGCUUUCUUUUCUCGUGGUAAUGAUUCAUGGAAUCACUGAUCCGGCUGGAAAGUGGGAAGAAGACGUAACGACUCGUCAUAAUUUUAUACCACUUCUCAAGAGUGUUGGUGUUCCCGAAUGGUUGGCAAUAUU
rnacentral:lncRNA from 1 species